rnacentral:lncRNA from 10 species
CCAGGAUUAAGAAUCACUAAUGCCAGAUGAGAAAACUGAGGACUCAGAAAUUAAAUAACUUGCCUAAGAUGGUAGAGCUCUCUUCAAACAGAACCAGAAAUUAUGGUGCUACAAAAAUACCUGCUUAUCUUAGAGCCAAAACAUUUCAAUUUUAAAAAAUGGCCUCGUAUGGCAGAUACAUAAGUCAGCUCCAGAUCGACUGCAAGAACAAACCAGCAAUCCUGAGAGGAUCCACAGACUCUCUGAAGGAAGCAGACUGCUCCUGCAGGACCCAGGAGACCCCCAAAUACUAUCCUGUGCAUGUCCACGGAGCGUUUCUGAUCCAGCUCCCCGUUUUUAAUAAGGAACUCUUCAACAAGAAAUAAACUCCCUCUACUCAUUCAUGGUUCCACCUCAGUUUUAUGAACAGACAAGUGCACAAGCUGGUCCCAAAUAAUGAUGUGUCUGGUAUGCUUAACGUUUGUGUGGCAGCUGGUGGAAAACCUUAAGGUUUUUUUUCCUCCUAUUCCUUCCUGCGAAGGCGUAUGCUUCUUCUAGAAUGUCAUUUGCAUAUACGCAUACACUUAUAUACAUACACACAUAUAGGUACAUAUGAACACAUAUAAAGGACUCAGAUUAUAUGUUAAGUUGGUAGGACAUAAUGUAUUAGGCUUAGCAUUAUAGAAGAUUUAGACAUGAAUCAACACUUGGUUUAUAGUCAAGGAGCUUAAAUCUGACAGAGAAGACAUAGCAUGUUCACAAAUAACUCUAAUCCAGGAGAAAAUGUAAUAAGGGCCAGGACAAAGAGACAGCUACAGCACUACUGGAGUUUCAAAGGAGGGAGAGAUUGCAUGCAUGCCUCCGAUAGUUGCAGGAAGAGUGGAGACAGUGGCAGAGGAGGCAUCUGAGCUGCAUCCUGAAAGAUGGACCGAAUUUGCCUCUGCCAACAUGAGGAGGUGGGAUAUCCAAAUGACAGAGGGCACACAUAAAGAUCCAGAAGUAGGUAAAAAGGCAUGUCUAGGGACCACUGAAGACAUUACUUGGGCCAGAACAAGGGGCCCAUGGAGGGGAGUAAAGGUCAAUUGAUUUGGGGAAAGAGGGUAUGUAUUAGUUUUCUUGGUUGCUAUAACAAAUUGCUGGCUGGGCAUGGUGGCUCAUGUCUAUAAUCCUAGCACUUUGGGAGGCCGAGGCAUGCAGAUUGCUUGAGCCCAGCUCAAGAUCAACCUGGGCAACACAGGGAAACCCCAUCUCUACAAAAAUUUUAAAAAAACUAGCCAAGCAUUGUGGCACAUACCUGUGGUCCCAGCUACUUGAGAGGCUGAGGCCGGAGGAUCACUUGGGCCUGGGAGGUUGAGGCUGCAGUAAGCUAUGAUGUGCCACUGCACUCCAGCCUGGAUGACAGAGCAAGACCAUCUCAAACAAACAAACAAACAAACAAACAAAAAAGCUGGGUGCAGUGGCUCACGCCUGUAAUCUCAACACUUUGGGAGGCCAAGCUGGGUGGAUCACUUGAGGUAAGAAGUUCAAGACCAGCCUGGCCAACAUGGGGAAACCCUGUCUCUACAAAAAAUACAAAAAAUUAGCUGGGCAUGGUGGCAGCCACCUGUAAUCCCAGCUACUUGGGAGGCUGAGGCAGGAGAAUCGCCUGAACCCGGGAAGUGGAAGUUGCAGUGAGCCGAGAUUGCACCAUUGCACUCCAGGCUGGGCAACAAGAGUGAAACUCCAUCUAAUAAAAUAAAUAAAUUAAUUAAUUAAUUAAAUAAAACAAAAAACCAAAUUGCCACAAGCUGAGUGGCUUAAGACAACACAAAUUUAUCAUUUUACAGUUCUGGAGGUCAGAACUCUAAGGGCCUCCCUGGGCUAAAAUCAAGGCAUCAGCAGAGCUGUGUUCCUUCCUGCAGGCCCUACAGGAGAAUUCAUUUUCCUGCCUUUUCCAGGUGAAAGCUGCUCACAUUCCUUGGCUUGUAACUCCCUUUCAUUUUCAAAGCCAGCAAUGGCUGGUGGAGUCUUUCUCACAUCACAUCACAUCUUCUGCCCCCUGCUUCCACGUUUAAGGACACUUGUAAAUUACGUUGGGUCCGCCGAUGAUCCAGGGUAAUCUCCUCAUUUUACAUUAGCAACUGUAAUUCCACCUGCAAUCUUUAUUCCCUUUUGCCAGGAAACAACAUAUUGAUAGGCUCCUGAGAUUACGACAUAGACAUCUUUGGGGAUACAUUAUUCUGCUACCAAAAUUUUUGUUUCAAUUUUAGAUUGGAACCAAAAAUGGAAAGGCCCUGAAUGUCAGGAUUGUCAUCCACAUUCUUCAUCCAGGACAGAAAAUACAACGUCUAUUUUCAGAUUAAAGAUGGUUUCAGUUCAAAUAUUUUCUUGCUUUUAGCUAGAAUUAUAGCAAUUCAGUCUAGUAGCCCAGAUUGUCUCAUACUGAUUGGGUGUUCUGCUUGACAGUUCUAGAUGCCUUUGAUUAAUAAAACAUGGGGAAAGAAAUUAAAUAUUGAUAAAUGUAGUUCGGUGCAUUCAGCUUUUCAAAACACAGGGCCUUUUGGGAGGGAAAACCAUAAAAGGGGAUCUCAGUGCUGGAAAGAUUGGGAACCACUGCCUUAAAAAAUAUGGCCUCUGAUUAUUCCAGUUGGUCUUACUUGUAUAUAUGGCAUUUUUCUCUAUUACUGAUAGAUCUCUAGGGUUGGAGUAUGAAAGAUUUGGAAAAGACUUUUUAAAAUUGCUUUGUCGAAUAUGUUUUAUCUUUCAACUUGUUUAUGGUUUGAUCAAUAAUUCAUUCCUUAGCAUCUGUGUCUUAAAGACUAUCUUGUCUGUUGUCUUUAUGAAUGAUGAAUUAUGAUAUUGGGAGAACAAAAUACAUUCUUUUUAAAGCACAGCAUCUCAAAUGAAAUGCCCAGAAUUUAUAGUGUGUAGAUAACAACAAAAAAAUGACUUAAAGCCGCGAAACAGGAAGAGGGAUGAAAUAUUUGAUAAAGCAGGAAGUACAAAUAAUAUAACAGAAAAUCCAUCUGGACUUGGGCACUGAGCUGUUCAGAUGGCCUUUAUUUAUUUGCUUAGCCAAUUUGAAGAUUCUCCCUUUAAAAUACCAUUUCAAUUAAAAUGUUCUACCAUGAACUACUGGAGCAUAAGUUCACCCAGCUGUUAACCACACCCAGCACAGAUACCUUUCCAUUUUAGGUGUUUGUAUGGAAUAUAUUUUUCUCAAACUCCUAGUGCUUACCUUUCUGUUUUAAAUAAAGAAAGGGUGAAAAGACAGAACAAACCAGUUAUGUGGAGAGAAAAACUUAGGCACAGAGAGAAGUGUCAUUUGAACACAGACUCUGGCCUGUGCUGCAGUUUUUCUUUCUUUCUUUCUUUUUUUCUUUUUUGAGACGGAGUCUUGUCGCCCAGGUUGGAGGGCAGUGGUGCGAUCUCGGCUCACUGCGAGCUUCACCUCCCGGGUUCACACCAUUCUCCUGCCUCAGCCUCCCAAGUAGCUGGGACUACAGGCACCCACCACCACGUCCAGCUAAUUUUUUGUAUCUUUAGUAGAAACAGGGUUUCACCGUGUUAGCCAGGAUGGUCUUGAUCUCCUGACCUUGUGAUCUUCCCACCUCAGCUUCCCAAAGUGCUGGGAUUACAGGUGUGAGCCACCGUGCGCGGCCCCCUUGUGCUGCAGUUUUUAACACAUUGCAGCUAACACUUACUGAGCACUGACCCUGUGUCAGGCGUUGUGCAGAACUGAUAAUCCUCACAGCCACUCUAUGAGAUGUGCACUAUUAGACUUAUUUCUGAUGGAGAAACUGAGGCUUAGAGAGGUUAAUUCACUUGUAGAAGCUCACACGAUUAGUGAGCGAAGGAGCAGAGAGUCAAUCUCCACGCUGGCUUUAAAAAAAACACAGAUAGAGUCAUCUCAUUCUCCUACUUUGUAAACAUUAUUUUUUUUAACCUCACAAUAUUGGGAUUCUCCACCCUGGCUUCAUGGUAGAAUCAUUUGGGGUCUUUUUACAAAAUACCAUUGCCUAGAAUCCACCCACGACUACUUAAAAAGAACAAUAAUAACAACGCUAAUGACAGCCAACAUUACAUUGGGCUUACUCUGUGCUCAAUAUAAGUGUUACUAUGUGCCAAGGCUUUCUUUAACAUAUAUGGACACACACAUGCACACAUAUAUUCUCUCUAAUAUAUAUAACACUAACAUAUACAUAUAUUCAAAUGAGGGUGUCUCUCAAUAUAUUCUCAUUUAAUCCUCAAAAUAAACCUUGGAUGAAGAUACCAUUGAGUAUCACCAAUUUACAAAUGGGGAAGGUGAGACUCAGAAGAUUUAAAAGCCUAGCUCAUAUGAUUCAAGAGACAUGCAAAAAAAAAAAAAAAAAAAAAAAAAGCCUAGCUCACAAUUAUCUGGCUAGCAACUGGCCAAACUGGGAUUCUGAUCCCAGGAAGUUUGGCUGUGUACAGAAUCUGUACUUGUUGCUGGUAACCUCUGGCAGAUGCUAGAGAGCCAACCUACUUAAAAAAAAAAGUCAAAAAGGAAGAGUAAAACAUUUGUCCUGUGUUUACAUAUAUAAACUAUACCUCAGGUUAACUAGUAGAUGAGAAGAAUCUCUCUCUUGAACAGAAUUUUAGCUAAUAAAUGAAUGAGUGAUAGAAUUAGAAUAUUAUCAUUUUGCAGCCUCUGAUGAAAUAAUAAACCUAGACCAUGACCAUCAGUGGAUGCCAACUUCUCAAAAAAGAGAUGUCCAGGCUUUACGUUCUUCCUGAUAGAAGCAUACAUUACCUCUUAUGAAGGAUUAUUUUUUCUUUCUUUCUUUCUUUUUUUUUUUGUGUGUGUGUGAGAUGGAGACUUGCUCUGUCACCCAGGCUGGAGUGCAGUGGCGCGAUCUUGGUUCACUGCAACCUCCGCCUCCCAGGUGUGAGUGAUUCUCCUGCCUCAGCCUCACGAGUAGCUGGGAUUGCAGGCACCUGCCAUUAUGCCCGGCUAAUUUUUGUGUUUUCAGUAGAGACGGGGUUUCACCAUGUUGGUCAGGCUGGUCUCAAACUCCUAACCUCAAGUAAUCCGCCUACCUCAGCCUCCCAAAGUGCUGGAACUACAGGUAUGAGCCACCGCUCCUGGAGCUUAUGAAGGCUUCUUGCUAGAAAAGUCAAAUCUCUUCAAGCUUCUAGAAUCAAAUUCCAUUUUCAGAUAACACAAGAGACCAGAGGAACAUGUUAUAUGACACCUGGGGAUGUAAUCAGCAAAAUCCAGACUGGGGAACUCAACAGACAGAAGACUUCAUUUCCAUCACACAUAAAUAGAGACAAUGAGAGAGAGGACUUAUAGAUCAAAAGAUUCAUAUAAACUAAUUACAAUGUAUGUGUACAUCAUAUUUGGAUUCCGAUUUGAUAGCAUAUCUGUUAAAAAAAUAAACAUUGGGGAAAUUUGAACAUUCACUGGAUGCUUGAUGUCAUUAAAGUCAUUUAAAUUUCUUGUUUCUUUGUGUUUUUUGUUUGUUUCUUCAUUUGUUUUUAGAGACAGGGUCUCAUUCCAUUGUCCAGGCUGGAGUGUAGUGACACAAUCAUAGCUCACUGCAGCCCCAAAUUCCUGGGUUCAAGCAAUCCUCCCAUCUCAGCCUCCUGAGUAGCUGGGACCACAAGCACAUACCACCAUACCUGGCUAAUUUUUAAAAACUUUUUGUCAAGACACAGUCUCACCAUCUUGCCCAGGCUGGUCUUAAACUCCUGGGCUCAAAUGAUCCUCC